rnacentral:rRNA from 1 species
GUGGGGAAUUUUGGACAAUGGGCGCAAGCCUGAUCCAGCAACGCCGCGUGAGGGAUGACGGCCUUCGGGUUGUAAACCUCUUUCAGCAGGGACGAAGCGAAAGUGACGGUACCUGCAGAAGAAGGACCGGCCAACUACGUGCCAGCAGCCGCGGUAAUACGUAGGGUCCGAGCGUUGUCCGGAAUUAUUGGGCGUAAAGGGCUCGUAGGCGGUCUGUCGCGUCGGGAGUGAAAACUCAGGGCUCAACCCUGAGCGUGCUUCCGAUACGGGCAGACUAGAGGUAUGCAGGGGAGAACGGAAUUCCUGGUGUAGCGGUGGAAUGCGCAGAUAUCAGGAGGAACACCGGUGGCGAAGGCGGUUCUCUGGGCAUUACCUGACGAUGAGGAGCGAAAGCAUGGGGAGCGAACAGGAUUAGAAACCCGGGUAGUCC